rnacentral:rRNA from 1 species
UACGAAGGGGGCUAGCGUUGUUCGGAAUUACUGGGCGUAAAGGGCGCGUAGGCGGCCCCGUCAGUCAGAAGUGAAAGCCCCGGGCUCAACCUGGGAAAUGCUUUUGAUACUGCGGGGCUUGAGUUCCGGAGAGGAUGGUGGAAUUCCCAGUGUAGAGGUGAAAUUCGUAGAUAUUGGGAAGAACACCGGUGGCGAAGGCGGCCAUCUGGACGGACACUGACGCUGAGGCGCGACAGCGUGGGGAGCAAACAGG